rnacentral:lncRNA from 1 species
UGUUCGACAAAGAUGAUUGUGAUUCGAAGAAGAUUCCAUUGAAGACUAAUUUGGUACUACUAACAGUGGAUUUUGAAGAAGGUACUUCAGACCUUGAUCUGAGUAAUUACUCCUACUUGAUUAUCAGAUCACCAGAUCAGGAUGGGAACUUGCUUUAUGUGUUGAGUGCAGCUUCCUAGGGCUCGGAAUAUCAACUUUGAAUGGCACCACUGGUAUUACUUUCAAAUACCAGAUUCUCAGAACCGGUAAUGGAAGUACAUUGAUUACCCAAUCCAAUUGAUUUCUCAAAGGAUUAUUAGAAGCAGUUUUCUAUGUUCGACAAAGCUGAUUGUGAUUCGAAGAAGAUUCCAUUGAAGACU